rnacentral:rRNA from 1 species
CACGCAGGCGGUGACUUAAGUGAGGUGUGAAAGCCCCGGGCUUAACCUGGGAAUUGCAUUUCAUACUGGGUCGCUAGAGUACUUUAGGGAGGGGUAGAAUUCCACGUGUAGCGGUGAAAUGCGUAGAGAUGUGGAGGAAUACCGAAGGCGAAGGCAGCCCCUUGGGAAUGUACUGACGCUCAUGUGCGAAAGCGUGGGGAGCAAACAG